rnacentral:rRNA from 1 species
AAGUAAUUGAUUAACUUCGCAAAUUAUAUGACCACCAAGCCAAAGAUCGGUAGGGGUCUUUGAGAGAGAUAGCCCCGAGAAGGGCACUGAGACACUGGCCCUAGCCCCACGGGGUGCAGCAAGGCGCGAAACCUUUACACUACACCGCAAGUGUGAUAAGGGGACUCUAAGUGCUUUGCUUUUGCAAGGCUUUUACUAAGAGUAAGAAUCUUAGUGAAUAAGUGGUGGGCAAGACUGGUGCCAGCCGCCGCGGUAACACCAGCUCCACGAGUGGCAAUCGUAUUUAUUGGGUCUAAAGCGUCCGUAGCCUGUCCUAUAAGUCUCUUGUGAAAUCAUUAAUGUAAACUUAAUGGUGUGCUUGAGAUACUGUUGGACUAGGAACUGGGAGGAGUCAGAAGUAUUUCCAGGGGAGCGGUAAAAUGUUAUAAUCCUGGAAAGACUACCUGUGGCAAAGGCGUCUGACUAGAACAGAUUCGACGGUGAGGGACGAAAGCUAGGGGAGCAAUCCGGAUUAGAUACCCGAGUAGUCCUAGCUGUAAACGCUGCGAGCUAGGUGUUGCAUAUUCUUAGUGAAUAUGUAGUAUCGUAGUGAAGAUGUUAAGCUCGCCACCUGGGGAGUAAGGUCGCAAGACUGAAUUACAGAGAAAUUAGUUUUUCUCUGAACAGUAGACCUUAAAGGAAUUGGGCGGGGGAGCACUACAAGGGGUGCGGCGUGCGGUUUAAUCUAACUCAACGCAGAGAAUCUCACCAGGGGCGACGGCAGGAUGAAGGUCAGUCUAAAGGGCUUACCCAACGAGCCGAGAGGUAGUGCAUGGCCGUCGUCAGCUCGUGCCGUAAGGUGUCCUGUUAUUGGUGUUUUGCGUUAUUCCUGUGAGCAAUGAUCAGGAAUGUUAAGAAUAUCAACAGAGAGUCAGGCAACGAGCGAGAUCUGUACCUACAAUUGCUAACGAGCAGUUAUGUGAUCGAGCACAUUGUAGGGACUGCUCUCGAAAGGGAGAGGAAGGUGCAGGCUACGGUAGGUCUGUAUGCUCCGAAUCCUCUGGGCUACACGCGCGCAACAAUGGUAGUGACAAUGGGAUGCAACUCCGAGAGGAGAAGCUAAUCCUCAAAACACUAUCUUAGUCCAGAUUGUGGGCUGUAAUUCGCCCACAUGACGUUGGAAUCCCUAGUAAUCGGAUGUCAAAAUCGUCCGGUGAAUAUGUCCCUGCUCCUUGCACACACCGCCCGUCAAACCACCCGAGUAGGGUCUAGAUGAGGUCUUAUUUUUAAUAAGUUCGAAU